UACGUAGGGGGCAAGCGUUGUUCGGAAUUACUGGGCGUAAAGGGCGCGUAGGCGGCCCGAGCAAGUCGGGAGUGAAAGCCCGGGGCUCAACCCCGGAACGGCUCUCGAAACUGCGGGGCUCGAGUGCGGAAGAGGCAACUGGAAUUCCCAGUGUAGCGGUGAAAUGCGUAGAUAUUGGGAAGAACACCGGAGGCGAAGGCGGGUUGCUGGGCCGACACUGGCGCUGAUGCGCGAAAGCCAGGGGAGCAAACGGG
rnacentral:rRNA from 1 species